GACAUAAAGUCAUGCAAGUGGUGCAUGACAUAAAUGUCAUGCAAGUGGUGUGUGUGAAAGAGAAUUAAUCCUUACACAUCCACCAAUAUUUCUUUCACCUUUCAAAAUAAAUAUCUAAUACAUUUAAACAUUUGAAAAAACACAAAACAAAAACUUUAUGAAAUAAAUCAAAACUUUGAAUCAAAACACCAAACCUUUUUGUUCUUGGCUAAAAUAUCAAGAACAAUAAAGAACAUUCAUGAAAAACUCAAAAAAUUCUCCAUGAACAUUUUUCACCCAAAACAUCCCAAAACCACUCAAACUUAAGGGAAAUAACAUAUAACCAAACUAGGGUACAUAGGGGUUCCAAAAGUUACUUGAAAACACUUUUAACAAGUCAAACAAGAACCCAAAAAUCCACCCUUUGGAUUUGGCCGAAAAUUCCCAAAAAACAUGGCACCAAAUUUUAGCUCUAAUAUUCAUGCUCAUAUGAACUACAUCUACAACAUUUGAGAUGGCAAAUUUUCUAACAAAAUUUACAUUCAAAGAAGCAAGAAUAAAGCUUGUAACAAUUACAACUUUUAAAUCAUAAACUAUGAACUACAAAACCCAAAAGGAUUCACCAACUACUAGACCUAGGCUCUGAUACCACUUGAAGGAAAUUUUGUGAAAAACAUGUUCAUUUAAGCAACAUCAUAUAGCAUGCAAUUAACAAUUAAAAGGCGGAAUCAUGCUUGUAUGCACUUAAAAACAAAACAUUACCCAUGAAAUUCAAAGCCUAGUAGA
rnacentral:lncRNA from 1 species